GCCAGCAGCUCUAUCACCCUGCAACUCACAGCUGGCAGCCCACUGAAGCCCAGCAGUGUGAGCCUGGUCAGUACCUGGAGGGGAGACCUCCUGGGAAAAACUAAGGUUGCUGCUGGGA
rfam:Lepisosteus oculatus linkage group LG20, whole genome shotgun sequence.